CCUGACCAGACAUGAGGUACUUCCCUUCCCCGUCCGGCUCCAUCCGCGGCCACAGCUCCAGGUCAUAGUGUACGGGGUAAAGGUACCAUAAGCCAGGACCAUUGCAGGUAUGAGGACAACAACUGAUACAUGAGUAGCAUCACAGGGUGAAGGUGCAACAUUAACAGAUGUUGCAUCGGUGGAGACUCCAGCCAGAACAAACAAGGGUUCAUUUUGGAAAGUGUAAUCGAUUAGUUAAAGAAUUGUAAUUUUAAAAAUGUAUGUAAAUGUUAAAUAAAAUAUCUAAAGAUUUUUCCUCCUA